AAAAAUAUAGGAUAAAAUAAGAAUAAAUAGAGAUAUAGAGAGAGAAUGAGCGAGGAAGGAGUAAUGACAGAUGGAUAGAAGAGUAGGGAUUCAAAAACCUCAAACAGAACUGUCUUAUGGAGACUAGCAUUAUUGGGACAACGAUGCGCGUAAGGGUGUGUUGGAGUGUUUGAGGAGUGUUAUAGAUCAGGUACCUGGACAGGUUGUGUUUGAGGAGUGUUAUAGAGCAGGCACCUGGACAGGUAGUGUUUGAGGAGUGUUAUAGAUCAGGUACCUGGACAGGUAGUGUUUGAGGAGUGUUAUAGAGCAGGUACCUGGACAGGUAGUGUUUGAGGAGUGUUAUAGAGCAGGUACCUGGACAGGUAGUGUUUGAGGAGUGUUAUAGAGCAGGUACCUGGACAGGUAGUGUUUGAGGAGUGUUAUAGAUCAGGUACCUGGACAGGUAGUGUUUGAGGAGUGUUAUAGAGCAGGUACCUGGACAGGUAGUGUUUGAGGAGUGUUAUAGAGCAGGUACCUGGACAGGUAGUGUUUGAGGAGUGUUAUAGAUCAGGUACCUGGACAGGUAGUGUUUGAGGAGUGUUAUAGAGCAAGGGGGGAUAUAAUCCACAGUAUGAUUAAGUUAUUCAUACCUGUAGGGACCGGGAGUUUGAUGCCCUUCACUAUGGUUAACACCAUGUCACUACCUGUUAGCGAGGGGAUGAACUUACUGGAUAGAAACACAAGGAAUGGGGGGAUGUAGGGUGUGUGUGUGCUCCCAGUGUAUCUAUCAGCCCCUGGACAUUGGCAUGGAUCAGUAAAUCAGUUAAUCAAUAAGAGGGUGGAUGAAAAGACAGGGCGAGUGUGUCUAUGCCUCUGUCUCUGUCAGGGACAGUCAAUGCAGCCAUCUGUCGGCCGUGGACACACACAUGCACACACAAACGUUUCAGGGAAAUCAUUCUUAUUCAAUGCCUGGAACUGGAAAAAGCCAUAGGGUUGUCUGGCUGUACUUACCUCACCUUGCACUAGCAGAAACGAACCCCAGGACUGGACUGAAUGGCUAUAUCACAACACCACCACUAGAGGGCCACAGCUCUGGUCUCUUAAUGCACUUGUAACAAGCCCCUGCACGUGUAGAAGGUGAGUUCCUCUAUGUGUCAUUUGUGACUGGGUGUGUUGUGUGAGGUGUCUGUGUUGGUAGUGUACCUGUAUGUGUUGAAGGUGCGUUCCUCUGUGUAUGGGGGUAACAGGUGUCCUCUACUCUGUACCUGUUUCACUACCUCCAGGUGUCUCCUACACCACUCUGACAGCACCUCCAACCUGUCUAAACAAUACACAUUCUCACAUCAACAGUGUCGUUCUGCGUGUCUGACCUGUCCUAAGGCAGCACAUGUCCACCUGUCUGCUAUCCGUUAUAUAACUUACAUAUCGUUUAUCAAUGCAUAAGAGGUAAUGAAAAGGGCCAGCACAGACCUAGUUGUCUCAGUGAUCUCCCCCAUGUGGGUGAACAGCUGGCACAGACACUUCUGAUGGAGGGAGGAGAGGCACAGAGUCAGUUAGGGUACUGUGAUAACCAGUGUAAUUCAGUG
ensembl:lncRNA